CUCAGGAGUCGGGUGGGAUGUUGAGUGGGAUGUUCAAGAAAAAGAAGACACAAUCUCAGGAGGAUUUGACUGCAGCAGGCGACAGCGACAAUGUGUCUGUAACUGGAAACACUAAGGAGUCUGGUGGGAAGUUCACUGGAAUGUUUAAAAAAGCCCCAAAGGCAAAGACACAAUCUCAGG